CUUCUGACCGGAAGCAUCUCGGAGCAGCAGCGGACAGUUUGAAAGCGACCGAGCCGAGUUUGAGACGUUUUCACGGUGUUUCCGUUAAACCGGAGAGAUUCUCCUCAGAGACCGAGUCACCGAGGACAGAAAGAAGCGGACAGCUUUCCCGCCGCUGGAGGACGAAGACACGAAGAUAACGGACCAACAUGGCGGAUUGCUCCGGACGCUAUGAGCGUCUGACAGCAGAGCAGAUGGAUGAACAGAGGAUCCAGAACGUGGCCUAUCAGUACCUCUGCAGGCUGGAGGAGGCCAAGAGGUGGAUGGAGCGUGUCUGGGG